rnacentral:rRNA from 1 species
UGCCCUUGGGACGAGAACAACCCCGGGAAAAGGGGGGGCUAACUCUCGAUAGGCGAAGAACACUGGAAUGUGUCUUCACCCAAAAAGUGCAACGUUAUCCUCGUUGCAUCGCCUAAGGAUGAGGCCGCGACCGAUCAGGUUGUUGGUGAGGUAAUGGCUCACCAAGCCUUUUACCGGUGCGGGCCGUGGGAGCGGGAGCCCGGAGAUGGGUACUGAGACAAGGACCCAGGCCCUACGGGGCGCAGCAGUCGCGAAAACUUUGCAAUAAGCGAAAGCUUGAGCAGGGCUAUCCCGAGUGCCAUCCGCUGAGGAAGGCUUUUACCCCGUCUAGAACGCUGGGGGAAUAAGGAGAGGGCAAGUCUGGUGCCAG